rnacentral:rRNA from 1 species
GACGAACGCUGGCGGCGUGCCUAAUACAUGCAAGUAGAACGCUGAAGAGAGGAGCUUACUCUUCUUGGAUGAGUUGCGAACGGGUGAGUAACGCGUAGGUAACCUGCCUUGUAGCGGGGGAUAACUAUUGGAAACGAUAGCUAAUACCGCAUAACAAUGGAUGACACAUGUCAUUUAUUUGAAAGGGGCAAUUGCUCCACUACAAGAUGGACCUGCGUUGUAUUAGCUAGUAGGUGAGGUAAUGGCCCACCUAGGCGACGAUACAUAGCCGACCUGAGAAGGUGAUCGGCCACACUGGGACUGAGACCCGGCCCAGACUCCUUCGGGAGGCAGCAGGAGGGAAUCUUCGGCAAUGGGGGCAACCCUGGCCGAGCAACGCCGCGUGAGUGAAGAAGGUUUUCGGAUCGGAAAGCUCUGUUGUAAGUCAAGAACGGGUGUGAGAGUGGAAAGUUCACACUGUGACGGUAGCUUACCAGAAAGGGACGGCUAACUACGUG